ACCUCGGUGGUGUAGUGGUCAAGACACUCGCCUGAUAAACAGCAGGGCAUGGGUUCGACCCAAUCUGAGGUG
rnacentral:tRNA from 1 species